rnacentral:rRNA from 1 species
UCCCAGACUCCUACGGGAGGCAGCAGUGGGGGAUAUUGCACAAUGGGGGAAACCCUGAUGCAGCGACGCCGCGUGUGGGAAGACGGUCCUCUGGAUUGUAAACCACUGUCCCCAGGGACGAAGAUGACGGUACCUGGGGAGGAAGCUCCGGCUAACUACGUGCCAGCAGCCGCGGUAAUACGUAGGGAGCGAGCGUUGUCCGGAAUUACUGGGUGUAAAGGGAGCGUAGGCGGGGACGCAAGUCAGAUGUGAAAACCACGGGCUCAACCUGUGGCCUGCAUUUGAAACUGUGUUUCUUGAGUACUGGAGAGGCAGACGGAAUUCCUAGUGUAGCGGUGAAAUGCGUAGAUAUUAGGAGGAACAUCGGUGGCGAAGGCGGCUUACUGGGCUUUUACUGACGCUGAGGCUCGAAAGCGUGGGGAGCAAACAGGAUUAGAUACCCGUGUA